CCUACGGUGGCAGCAGUAGGGAAUCUUCCACCACGGGCGCAAGCCUGAUGGAGCAACACCGCGUGAGUGAAGAAGGGUUUCGGCUCGUAAAGCUCUGUUGUUGGAGAAGAACGUGCGUGAGAGUAACUGUUCAAGCAGCGACGGUAUCCAACCAGAAAGUCACGGCUAACUACGUGCCAGCAGCCGCGGUAAUACGUAGGUGGCAAGCGUUAUCCGGAUUUAUGGGGCGUAAAGCGAGCGCAGGCGGUUGCUUAGGUCUGAUGUGAAAGCCUUCGGCUUAACCGAAGGAGUGCACAGGAAACCGGGAGACUUGAGUGCAGAAGAGGACAGUGGAACUCCAUGUGUAGCGGUGGAAUGCGUAGAUAUAGGGAAGAACACUAGUGGCGAAGGCGGCUGUCUGGUCUGCAACUGACGCUGAGGCUCGAAAGCAUGGGUAGCGAACAGGAUUAGAUACCCGGGUAGUC
rnacentral:rRNA from 1 species